rnacentral:rRNA from 1 species
AUUGAACGCUGGCGGCAGGCCUAACACAUGCAAGUCGAACGAGUGGCGGACGGGUGGGUAAUGUCUGGGCAACUGCCUGAUGGAGGGGGAUAACUACUGGAAACGGUAGCUAAUACCGCAUACCAUCGGAUGUGCCCAGAUGGGAUUAGCUAGUAGGUGGGGUCAAGGCUCACCUAGGCGACGAUCCCUAGCUGGUCUGAGAGCAUGACCAGCCACCCGGGAACUGGGACACGGUCCAGACUCCUGAGGGAGGCAGCAGUGGGGAAUAUUGAACAAUGGGCGCAAGCCUGAUGCAGCCAUGCCGCGUGUAUGAAGAAGGCCUUCGGGUUGUAAAGUACUUUCAGCGGGGAGGCGUUACCCGCAGAAGAAGCACCGGCUAACUCCGUGCCAGCAGCCGCGGUAAUAC